rnacentral:rRNA from 1 species
AGCGAACGUUUGCGGCGGGCUUAACACAUGCAAGUCGAACGGGCUGUUCCUUCGGGGGCAGUCAGUGGCGCACGGGUGCGUAACACGUAGGUAAUCAACCCUUCAGCUCGGGAUAACACUUCGAAAGGAGUGCUAAUACCGGAUGUGAUGCAGGGCUCUUCGGAGUGCUGCAGGAAAGAUCCGCAAGGGUCACUGAAGGACGAGCCUGCGGCCCAUCAGCUAGUUGGCGGGGUAACGGCCCACCAAGGCGACGAUGUCUAGCUGGUCUGAGAGGAUGAUCAGCCACACUGGGACUGAGACACGGCCCAGACUCCUACGGGAGGCAGCAGUAGGGAAUAUUGGACAAUGGGGGGAACCCUGAUCCAGCCAUGCCGCGUGAGGGAAGAAGGUCCUCUGGAUUGUAAACCUCUUUUGGCAGGAAACAAACCUGCGCUAUACGCGCAGCUGAGGGUACCUGCAGAAUAAGCACCGGCUAACUCCGUGCCAG